rnacentral:rRNA from 1 species
UACAGAGGUCCCAAGCGUUGUUCGGAUUCAUUGGGCGUAAAGGGUGCGUAGGUGGCGCCGUAAGUGGGGUGUGAAAUUCGGAGCUUAACUCCGAAACUGCAUUCCAUACUGCGGUGCUUUGAGGACUGGAGAGGAGACUGGAAUUUACGGUGUAGCAGUGAAAUGCGUAGAGAUCGUAAGGAAGACCAGUGGCGAAGGCGGGUCUCUGGACAGUUCCUGACACUGAGGCACGAAAGGCCAAGGGGAGCAAAACGGGG